rnacentral:piRNA from 1 species
UACACAGGUGUGCUUCCGCGUGGCCAUCCA